CUGACUUCUCAAACUGGUAAACACACAUACUUGUGGUAGUUGUAGUCCUUCUGUAGAAACGUGUUAGCAACUUUUUUUUUUUUUUUUUUUGCAAGGCUAAAAAAAGUCCUGACUGGAAAUGCUAAAUCUCUUUUGAUUUUCAGGACUACAAGUUAAACAGCUCCAUUUAGCUUAGCUACACCACUGGCUUUAUGACUAAAAUCGGGGUCUUUUCCAACCAUCUGUAAAUAUUUAAGUCUUGUAAAAAUAUCCCUGCUCCACACAGUGUCGCACCACUGCGUCCAUAGCUCGCUUUACAAUUUACCCUGUCUAGCAACUCGAGGUGUUGGGAAUUCCAGGAUCUGACCAUUCAUUUGCUUCAAUUUUCCUUAUGAUCCACCUUAAAUGACUGAUCCCACACAAGUCCCUCCCUCUCCGCCGCAGCUCUCCCAGCCCUCAGACUGAAUCUCUAUCUUCCCUCUUUCGAUUUCCAGCCACGGCAACCAGUGAUUUAAACGGUCUUUUUCGUUGCGCGGUGAAAGGUUGCGUUUAUCCGCACUUUUCCCGGCGGUCAAACGGGGACUGAAGACAUAGAGCAGUUAACACGUAGAAAACAAGAUUGAAAACCAAACAAAACUUGGAUCUGUUGCGUUUCGUAACCAAAGCGGAACAUACCUCAAUUCCUCUUGUGAUUAUUUCCUCUUUUCGAGAAAAGGCUGUUGGAUUGGGCUCGAGCAGACGGGCUUCUUACUUCUGAGCGGCGUGAUAUAAGAAGUUUAUAUGUUUUUAGCCUAAACGCGGAGGUCACAUUUUACAUGUAGGAAAAGUGACUAAUUCCAUCCUGCUGGUUGACUGGCACCAAUUCUAAAGUUAGUUUCCAAAUGCAGAGUAAACAAACACGGUUUGCAAGCGAAGAAAGACAUUGCCUAUCCGUGCAAGCGUUUACUUAGAGACCCUUUGCGUCUUUCUUCAUUGGGAGUUUUGAGGAGCAAGGCUUGUUUCUCGAUACACUGAAUGAGGAGGAACGUCCCACGUGCGGCUUUCACUCUUUCUGGCAACCCUUCAGCCCCAAGUUUUUCUGUGGUGCGUCUUGAGUCUACAGUGCAUCCCUUUAAUGCCUUGCUGCUGCGGUAACAUGUCCGACCUGGAUCAUUCCCUUCAGAAACACUUCCUUUGAUGCUCGUUCGCUCUCAAGACAGUUCUGCUCAACGUCCCGAACACACAGAAAGACCUGUUGAACUUGGGAACACUGUAACAGCUACCUGAAGCAUUCCUGUAUCACCCAGUCUUACGUUUACAAGCGGAUCAUCGGAAGUCUCACGUCCUGAGGCGUGA
rnacentral:lncRNA from 1 species